UGACACACACAUAUAGAUAGAUCUAUUCUAUAAUAUUUAUUAGAUCUAAGUCUAUAUCUAGAUCUAGACUUCUUGGUCUCCAAAGUAUUUGAAAUACCGGUACUCUAUUUCAUUCUGAAAUGUUUGAGGAAAUGUUAGAUUCUACUAGUUCACUUGGACCUGCGCUGUUUCGAUCUAUAAUAGACUCUAGUUUAGAUCUAGAAUGGACAUCAUCUUUCAUAUAUUUAAAGAUUUACUCUUGUGGAUAUGAGCUACUACAAACAUCAGGAUGAUCUAGCUUUAACAGCACCUGAGUCUCAGAUGAAUCCAUUUAAAUCCAAGCAUCAAUGUCACUGUAGCUCUAAAGACAGGGAUUUAUACUUGCAACUUAGACAUAACAGAUUGAAUCAAAAGUCCAAGAUGUUUUAAAUGAGAUGGGUGUGUGACUGAACUUUCAAACCUUCAACAUUGUAUCAUUUUUAAAUGUGCCCAAGGUGAUGGUUUAGAUGUGUCUUUGUUUUCAAAGAUUUGUUUGUGUUACUGACUCAUCAAAUGCAAAUUCAAAUCUGAAGUAAUUUGUUGGUGUCAAGAUUCAAGUACUUUUAAUCAAUGUUUGAUAGAAAAGCCUGAAGAUGUGUUCAUCAUUAACAUCAAGUUCCAUGUGAGAGCAUCUAGGCACAAGGCUCUGGACUCAAACUUUGCAGUAUACAUCUUGAUACAAGUCAAAAGCUUAGAGCUUUCCAGAUAUUGUUUUGUAUACAAGGUUCAAGUUAUAUUUCAAGUUCUUCGUUAUCAAGGUUCAAUACAUCGUUUGCAUAAUAGGUCAAAAUAGAAUGUUCAUUCAGCACACAGCCAUUUCAAGAGAAAUUUAAACCUGAAGUGUUUUAUCUUUUGUAUUUAAAAUGUACAAACAUCAUUACUAGCACUAUGAAUAAUAUUAUUAUGCUAAUCAGUGUUAAUGUCAACUGUUACAUUCUUAAAUAUAUCAAUAUUUCUUAGUUAUAUCCAUUAAUUAUAUCUUUUUAUCUAUAAACAUAUUACUAUUUUAACUUUAUUUUAUUAUGUCAGCUUAUUACACUAUAAAUUAGAAUGUCUUGUCUACUUAAUUUGUACACUUCUCUUAUUUCUAAACUGUUUACUGUUAAAAUUAGUUUACUCACAUCAGUCUAAAUUUCUUGUACACAUUUAAUGAAUACACAAAAAUUAGGAAUUGUAUAACAUAUUGAGCUGCAAUAAUGUCUCAAAGUAAAGAUUUGUUUGAAACUUCUUUCUGCAGAAUUCUCCAUGUAUUCAUUUUUUCUAGACAUCCAGUUGUUCUUAUUGAUGUCACCAUUUCUUUUAAUCUCAACUUUAAGUCAUUAUACAAAUCAUAGCAUAUACUUUCCAUCUACUGAAUAACUUGUGAAAUUAUAGCCUUUACUUCACUCUGCUAGAUCACUUAUGAAAUUAUAGCCUUUACUUCACUCUGCUGAAUCACUUAUGAAAUUAUAGCCUAUACUUCACUCUGCUGAAUCACUUAUGAAAUCAUAACCCAUACUUCACUCUGCAGAAUCACUUAUGAAAUUAUAGCCUAUACUUCACUCUGCUGAAUCACUUAUGAAAUUAUAGCCUAUACUUCACUCUACUAAAUCACUUAUGAAAUUAUAACCUAUACUUCACUCUACUAAAUCACUUAUGAAAUUAUAACCUAUACUUCACUCUGCGGAAUCACUUAUGAAAUCAUAACCUAUACUUCACUCUGCAGAAUCACUUAUGAAAUCAUAACCUAUACUUCACUCUGCAGAAUCACUUAUGAAAUUAUAGCCUAUACUUCAUUCUGCUGAAUCACUUAUGAAAUCAUAACCUAUUCUUCACUCUGCUGAAUCACUUAUGAAAUUAUAGCCUAUACUUCACUCUGCUGAAUCACUUAUGAAAUCAUAACCUAUACUUCACUCUGCUGAAUCACUUAUGAAAUUAUAGCCUAUACUUCACUCUGCUGAAUCACUUAUGAAAUUAUAGCCUAUACUUCACUCUACUAAAUCACUUAUGAAAUUAUAACCUAUACUUCACUCUGCAGAAUCACUUAUGAAAUCAUAACCUAUACUUCACUCUGCAG